rnacentral:rRNA from 1 species
UACGUAGGGUGCGAGCGUUAAUCGGAAUUACUGGGCGUAAAGCGUGCGCAGGCGGCGCCGCAAGUCGAGUGUGAAAUCCCCGAGCUUAACUUGGGAAUUGCGCUCGAAACUACGGUGCUGGAGUGUGGCAGAGGGGAGGUGGAAUUCCACGUGUAGCGGUGAAAUGCGUAGAUAUGUGGAGGAACACCGAUGGCGAAGGCAGCCCCCUGGGUCGCAAGACUGACGCUGAGGUGCGAAAGCGUGGGGGAGCAAACAGG